rnacentral:rRNA from 1 species
AUACAGAGGGUGCGAGCGUUAAUCGGAAUUACUGGGCGUAAAGGGCGCGUAGGUGGAUAAUUAAGUUAGAUGUGAAAUCCCUCGGCUCAACCGAGGAAUGUCAUUUAAUACUGGUUGUCUAGAGUGCGGGAGAGGAAAGUAGAAUUUCCGGUGUAGCGGUGAAAUGCGUAGAUAUCGGAAGGAAUACCAGUGGCGAAGGCGGCUUUCUGGCCUGACACUGACACUGAGGCGCGAAAGCGUGGGUAGCAAACAGGAUUAGAUACCCCGGUAGUCC